UACUGUAGACACACCGUCAGCACUAUCCGAGUCCUGCAUGUUCCGCAUGUUGCAGUCAUCUCAUUUCCCUCCAGCUCAGUGUCAUGUACGGAUGUGCUUCACUGAUUGAAAACAUUUUAAAGGGCUCAGUGUGACAUCACACUCCAAGUGCGUUUCAGGAAGCUGCGUGAGAAAUUGAUCUCCAGAUCUUCCAUAGCUGCACAGUAAGAGCAGGGCCAGAAGGAGUCGGUCAUGGUGGAAGAUGAAAUGGAAAAAUGUGUCUCGCUCUACACAGUUGAUGUGAGCACCAGUGGGGCCGAUGCGGUGAUAAUUCAGGAGGAUGGUGAUGGAAUUGGCCUGAGACAGAGGCCCAUAGUUAAAAUAUAAGACCUACCAGGCCCCCAAAUAAAAUGUUACACCCCCAAGAGGAGGUGUCACAAUUGCCGGACGGGCUGGACGGAAGAUUGCUCCGGCAGCGCAAGCGAUCAUAAACUGGCAGGCAGACGAGAAACGGGGCAAAACGAGGGUUUAAUCAGAAACACGAGUCGACAAACACGACAAACACCAGGUAACAUCAAUGACAGACACUGGACUCAGGUAAGACACGGACUGAAAUACACAGGACUGAGCAAAUGAACUAGACACAGCUGGGUACAAUCGGGAGAAAACACGUGGGUAAUCAGGGGGCGUGGCACACAGGAGGAGCGGACGAGCCGGGCAUGACAGGAGAGAGGGACUGCAACAUUUUAAAUAUGACCUUGUGCUCCCACCCCAACACUAACACUAGUUUUCAUUUAAGUAAAUCUGGGCUUUAUUAAUCCAAGUACUACAAAUAAUACAAUUAACUUAAAGAGCGGAGCAAACCAUCCAUCCAUCCAUUUUGCAUGUUCUCCCCAUGUCGUCGUGGGGUUUCCUCCGGGUACUCCGGUUUCCCCCCACAGUCCAAAAACAUGCUGAGGCUAAUUGGACUAAUUGCUGAGGCUAAAUUGCCCGUAGGUGUGCAUGUGUGAGUGAAUGGUGUGUGAGUGUGCCCUGCGAUGGGCUGGCCCCCCAUCCUGGGUUGUUCCCUGCCUCGUGCCCAUUGCUUCCGGGAUAGGCUCCGGACCCCCCGCGACCCAGUAGGAUAAACGGUUUGGAAAAUGGAUGGAUGGAUGGAUGGAUGUGCCAAAGGAAAAAGGCUAGCGGGAGAAGUGCCAGGCGGUGGAGAGAGGGGCUGCAGAAAGCUACUCUCACUCUCUAACUGAACAUACAGAGGAGAAAACCACAUUGAUGAAACCCUGCUAAUAUAACUGCAAAGUAUCAAGCCUCUUGUCCUCCCACAGAUGGUAGGAAAUUUUUACAAAAGCUAAUAAAUAUUAAUUAACUACAAUCAUGAUGUGCAGAGUGGCAGAAAGAGGCCUCAUCGCUCUCUGUCCAGGCCUUCGGAAGGGGCACCAAACAGCAGUGUCCAAUCCAGCAGCCGGGGCACUCAGUUGGUGCUCCUGAUGGAAGAGAGAGAGGCACACAAAUGUGCAGAAAAAUCUAAAUAGUGCCUAGGAUGUGACAUACUGUAAUGGCUCUAAAUUGCUCAUAAUGUGUGAAUGUUUAUGUGUGUGUACUCUGAGGGAUUGGCAUCCCAUCUUGGGUUUGUCUUGUACCCUGUGCUGCCCUGGAUUGGCUCCGGGGAUAAGUAGACCUGGAUAAGCACUUAUAAUGUGGAGAGAUACCUAAACUACACUUAUUUGCAUUCACAAAUUCAAAUGUAUUCUUAUUGGCUCGAUUAGUUAAUAUGUGUUUUGCUAAUAGCCCCUAUGUCUUCUUUCCCAAACAUGGUCAGUAUCCUGUACCUGACAGGAAGACAUGGCUGCAGGUCGGAUUGGCUGCAGAGGAGUGUGGUUAGUGUGGCAGAUCUCGCAGUGCAUUUCUUUAUGAUCAGAUUAUGUUUCGUUCACUCCUCAGUUCUUUGCCUAAGUAUGUCUCACAUCAGGAAGAUGGAAAGGCUCUCAGAGGCACUUUUCAUUUGGGAGGGUUGGAGGUUGAUACUUAACAUGGUCUCUGGGGUCUCCCACCAUAAAACUGAAAAUGUCUGAUGGGACAAAUCAGGUGUACCAUCACAGCUGUGCCGCGUAGUACCCUCUAUACAUCUCAGAGGCAGCACAUAAAUAAAAUGCUAAACUCUCCAUAUGUUUAUUACUGAGAUGCAGAAAUAUUCUUUACCAAAUCUUUGCAUGUAUGUAAAUAAAAUAAGCAAAUAACAUUAAAAGGAUCGUUUCCAUUUUUUCAGGUCAUCUCAAAUGCUAGAUGCUUGUCCUGAGGCAGAACAGUGCCAUUAUUAUGGUAAUGCAAGAACUUCCAGUUUCAUCUCUGACCAAGACAGAGAGCAGACAGCCAAGCCACCUGGCUAAGACUAUGAGCCCAAAUGAGCAUUUUAGGCAAUACUACGAAGGAACCACACGAGGGCACUGUGGCUAAACCCAAAGAAAACUCAAUACAGGUAUAAACAUGCCGAUCCCGUUGUAUGGAAAAUGAAUUAAAGAAUGAAUGAAUAUC